rnacentral:tRNA from 1 species
GGAGAGGUGGCAGAGUGGUUGAAUGCGUCAGUCUCGAAAACUGAUUUACCCGCAAGGGUAACGAGGGUUCGAAUCCCUCCCUCUCCGCUA